rnacentral:rRNA from 1 species
UACGUAGGGUGCGAGCGUUGUCCGGAAUUAUUGGGCGUAAAGAGCUCGUAGGCGGUCUGUCGCGUCGGCUGUGAAAACCCGAGGCUCAACCUCGGGCCUGCAGUCGAUACGGGCAAACUAGAGUACUGCAGGGGAGACUGGAAUUCCGGGUGUAGCGGUGGAAUGCGUAGAGAUCCGGAAGAACACCGGAGGCGAAGGCGGCUUGCUGGGCUUGGUCUGACGCUGAGGCGCGAAAGCGUGGGGAGCGAACAGG